rnacentral:rRNA from 1 species
AACGAACGCUGGCGGCAUGCCUAACACAUGCAAGUCGAACGAGACCUUCGGGUCUAGUGGCGCACGGGUGCGUAACGCGUGGGAAUCUGCCCUUGGGUGCGGAAUAACAGUUAGAAAUGACUGCUAAUACCGCAUAAUGACUCCGGUCCAAAGAUUUAUCGCCCAAGGAUGAGCCCGCGUCGGAUUAGCUAGUUGGUGAGGUAAAAGCGCACCAAGGCGACGAGCCGUAGCUGGUCUGAGCGGAUGAUCAGCCACACUGGGACUGAGACACGGCCCAGACUCCUACGGGAGGCAGCAGUGGGGAAUAUUGGACAAUGGGCGAAAGCCUGAUCCAGCAAUGCCGCGUGAGUGAUGAAGGCCUUAGGGUUGUAAAGCUCUUUUACCCGGGAUGAUAAUGACAGUACCGGGAGAAUAAGCCCCGGCUAACUCCGUGCCAGCCGCCGCUGUAACAC